UACGUAGGUGGCAAGCGUUGUCCGGAUUUACUGGGCGUAAAGGGCGUGCAGGCGGUCUGUUAAGUUCAGGGUGAAAGCUCCCGGCUCAACUGGGAGAGGUCCUUGGAUACUGGCAGACUUGAGGGAGGUAGAGGAGAGUGGAAUUCCCGGUGUAGUGGUGAUAUGCGUAGAUAUCGGGAGGAACACCAGUGGCGAAGGCGGCUCACUGGCCCGAUACCGACGCUGAGGCACGAAAGCGUGGGGAGCAAACAGG
rnacentral:rRNA from 1 species